GAUGAACGCUGGCGGCGUGCCUAAUACAUGCAAGUCGAGCGAACAGACGAGGAGCUUGCUCCUCUGACGUUAGCGGCGGACGGGUGAGUAACACGUGGAUAACCUACCUAUAAGACUGGGAUAACUUCGGGAAACCGGAGCUAAUACCGGAUAAUAUAUUGAACCGCAUGGUUCAAUAGUGAAAGACGGUUUUGCUGUCACUUAUAGAUGGAUCCGCGCCGCAUUAGCUAGUUGGUAAGGUAACGGCUUACCAAGGCGACGAUGCGUAGCCGACCUGAGAGGGGGAUCGGCCACACUGGAAGUGAGACACGGUCCAGACUCCUACGGGAGGCAGCAGUAGGGAAUCUUGCGCAAUGGGCGAAAGCCUGACGGAGCAACGCCGCGUGAGUGAUGAAGGUCUUCGGAUCGUAAAACUCUGUUAUUAGGGAAGAACAAAUGUGUAAGUAACUAUGCACGUCUUGACGGUACCUAAUCAGAAAGCCACGGCUAACUACGUG
rnacentral:rRNA from 1 species